GCGAACGCUGGCGGCAGGCUUAACACAUGCAAGUCGAACGCAUCCUUCGGGAUGAGUGGCAGACGGGUGAGUAACACGUGGGAACGUACCCUUCGGUUCGGAACAACUCUGGGAAACUGGAGCUAAUACCAGAUACGCCCUUUUGGGGAAAGGUUUACUGCCGAAGGAUCGGCCCGCGUCUGAUUAGCUAGUUGGUGGGGUAACGGCCUACCAAGGCGACGAUCAGUAGCUGGUCUGAGAGGAUGAUCAGCCACAUUGGGACUGAGACACGGCCCAAACUCCUACGGGAGGCAGCAGUGGGGAAUAUUGGACAAUGGGCGCAAGCCUGAUCCAGCCAUGCCGCGUGAGUGAUGAAGGCCUUAGGGUUGUAAAGCUCUUUUGUCCGGGACGAUAAUGACGGUACCGGAAGAAUAAGCCCCGGCUAACUUCGU
rnacentral:rRNA from 1 species